rnacentral:lncRNA from 1 species
UCGAUUUGAAUUCGCGUCGUCUUCCUCCUCCAGGAGCUCGCGCCGUCCCCAUCCCCCAGGAGCUCGCGCCAUCCCCUUCCCCCAGGAGCUCGUGCCGUCCCCAUCCCCCAGGAGCUCGCGUCGUCCCCAUCCUCCAGGAGCUCGCGUCGUCCCCAUCCUCCAGGAGCUCAUGCCGUCGUCUUCCUCCAGGAGCUCGUGUCGUCGUCUUCCUCCAGAAGCUUGCACCGUCCCCCUCCUCCAGUAGCUUGCGUCGUCCCCCUCCUCCACGAGCACGCAUCGUCCCCAUCAUCCAGGCGCUCGGCCCCGUUUCCAGGCGCUCGGCCCCGCGCCCAGGCACCCAGUUUGGUCGCCUCCGCCUCAGCUUGGUCGCCUCCGCGCCCAGCUUGGUCGCCGCCCCCUCAGCUUGGUCCUCGCCGUGCCCAGCCCACCUGGCUCGUCACUACGCAGCACGUGGUCUCCAGGCAGGUUCUCCUUGCCUCGCCCCUUGCACAACAACAGAAAUUACUCCAUGAAUGUACAGAUGUAUUUACAGAAGAAUUACUCCAUGUUCUCAUGCUGUAGUUACAGUAAGAUCAUGAAUUACAGCAUGGAGUACUUGUCUGCAGUAAUGUGAUCUUGCUCAAGUAAAUCAUGAACUACAGUUGGGAGUACCUAACUGCAGUAAUGUGAUCUUGCUCCCUGGAGUAAAUUUUACUGUAAAUUCUGCAAACAGACUGGAGUAUCAGUACAGGGAUCAGUUAAAUUCGGCAUAGAUUCAAUUAAAUGCCUAGAUUCAGAUAAAUGCAUAAUCACACAUGAGAUGCUGCACUUGUUUGUCAAAAAUGAACAGAUGCUACUACCUCCUCCCCGAGGAAGAUGACCCGGUCAGAACUGUUCGAAACAAGAACUGUAUUGGGAAAGUGAUGUUUCUGACCGCUGUUGCUCGACCCAGAUAUGACACUGAAGGCAAUAUGACAUUCUCAGGUAAAAUUGGUGUCUGGCCCUUUGUGCAAGAGAUUCCCGCUGCUAGAAGAAGUGAGUAUAGAGCAAGAGGGACCAUUGAAAUCAAGUCCGUCAACGUGAACCGACGGGUAAUGAGGAGGUAUAUGAUAGAAAAAGUGGUUCCUGGAAUAAAGGAAGUCUGGCCCACAGAUGAUACUAAUCCAAUAUUGAUCCAGCAAGAUAACGCAAGAACGCACAUUCUUCCUGGUGAUGCAGAGUUUGUAGAAGUUGUGGCUACAACUGGUCUGGACAUUAAAAUAAUAAACCAGCCUCCAAAUUCUCCUGAUCUAAACGCACUUGAUCUUGGAUAUUUCAGAUCCCUUGAGUCUUUGACCGACUGUAGAGCACCCACUGUCGUGGUUCUAAGCCUGACAGUAGAGUGGGGGGUAGGUUUGGAGAGGCAAGGUCCUAGCUAUGGAGAGGUUGUAAACACAAGGGAUGUACGAGUUCAGGCCCUUCUCGGAAGAAGUAAUAGCCCUACGUCUCGGAGCCCGGAGGCGGUCGAGUGGAUUAUGAGUAUAUGAGUUACAAGGUGCCGAACCCUUCUGCCUGUGGAGGGGGGUGGCUUAUAUAGAGUGCGCCAGGACCCCAGCCAGCCCACGUAGGAGAGGGUUUAAGGUGAGUUAAGUCUGGGGCGUUACUGGUAACGCCCCACAUAAAGUGUCUUUACUAUCAUAAAGCCUACUUAAUUACAGGCCGUUGCAGUGCGGAGUGCCUCUUGACCUCCUGGUGGUCGAGUGAGUCUUCAUGGUCGAGUCCUUCAGGUCAGUCGAGUGAGUCCCUCGUUGGUCGACUGGAAGGCGACCUCUUCUAAGGGUGUCCUUGGGUAAGGUACUUAGAUCAGGUUCGUGACCCUACCCUAGGUACAUGACCCCAUCAUUAGCCCCCGAAUGGAUCGAGGCUCCGAGUGAGGAUGGAGUUGAUGUCGUUUCCGAUUAACCUUUGCGCUCUGGUCGUGCAUUGUUCUGGACCAAAGAAUCUCUUCGUCGAUGGUGAGCAACUUGUCUUCAGUCGACUCGAUUCAUUCUCUUCUUUCGUCGAGUGAUCUUUCGGGCUUCAACGAUCCCCGAGCGACGGAUCGCGGGAAACUCCGCGUCUGACAGACUGAUCUGCCGUUCGCGGAUUCCGCGGGAUGCGAAAUUUGGGGACGCGCGCGAAGUGGAGCGGACCGCGGCGUUCGGAUGGGACGGGACAUAGACGCCUCGAUCUCCGCGCCGCUUUUUUCGCCACGUAUCCCGUCUGCAUAACUGCUCCCGGAUAUGAUUAGAUCGACCGGGCCCACCUGUCAUCCACUCGGAAGGGACCUUAUAAAUGCACCCGGCGGGGAUUUCUGUGCUGCGCCUCAGCAUUCUCUCUCUCUCUCUGCUCCCUUCGUCCCCGCCCAGCGCGCUCGCUCUCGCCCCCGCACAACUUCCCUUCGCGCAUCUCGCCGGCAACCAUGGCCAAGGAGAAGACGGCGGCGCUGGAACGUGCGAAGAAGGCGUCGGCGUCGGAGAAGGCAAAGGGGAGAUCUACCACCCGCGGAGGGUCCUCGUCCAGAUCCCGCCUGCCGAAGGGCUGGGUCCAAGGAGACUGGAUCCAGUCGACCAUCACAGAGAAUGACCUCCUCGACAUGGCCAACGAGGGUUUGAUCCCUCAUGGAGCUGCGAGGCUUCCGGGGAAGGAGUGGCAGCCACAGCCAGAAGAGGGUGAGUGUGUGCUCUUGGCCACCCAUGUUGAUCGUGGAUUUUCCUUGCCGCCGAGUGUUUUCUUCCGUGGCUUCUUGAAUUUCUUUGGAGCGCAGCUCCACCACUUUACCCCAAACUCUAUUGCCUAUCUUGCCGCAUUCGUGUCCAUGUGUGAGGGUUUCCUGGGCUGUCGACCGCACUGGGGUUUGUUCAAGCAUAUAUUCACGUGUCGCUCUCAGACCGUGAAGAAGGCGAGCCCAGGUGAUGAGAAAACCCGAGUUGUCCAAAUGUGUGGAGGUUUGGGGAUCCAGGUGAGGAACAAGAGCACCUUCCCGCCCAUGACCUUUCCCGAGUCCGUCAGAGGCUGGCAGUCGACUCGGUUCUACUGCCAGGUCCAGUCGACGCCAGGGCAGUCGAGUGGACUCCCUCCGUUUACCAUGGACCGAGUGAACAAGCCUUCCCCUCUGAAGUUGAUUCUGGAGGAGAAAGCUGACGUGAAGAUGCUGAUGGAGCGCGUGGUGCAGUUGGUUCGGGAGGGAGUGACGGGCAUGAAUCUCCUGGAGGUCUUCCUUAGGCGUCGCAUCCAGCCCCUUCAGUUCCAGAGCCACUGCAUGUGGUUGUACCGUGGGACCGAAGACGAGACUAGAGUCCAUCCAGAAGCAAUCGACGACGUCACUCUGGAAAGAUGGAUGGUAGCCGUUACCGGAAACAAGGACAACCCACGCGGAGCCAGAAGGAUUCCUCCACUCGACCACCACAGCGAUCCAAACAAGGUACACUUGCUCUGCUCUCCACUGCGUUCUUGUCGCAUUCAUUUCUGUUUACCCUGCCGACUGGUCGACUGAUCCUUGUCUUGACAUCUGCUAGGCCCUCACCGAGCUGUACUCGAUGCCCAAUGGGCACAAGCUCCGACUGAGGAGGGUGAGGCGAGUGGGGGCGAGAGCCAGGACGAGGAGGAAUGGGACUCGGACGUUGCAGAGGAUGAUGAUGACGAUGAUGAUGAUGACGGUGAUGAAGAUGACGUUGAAGACGAGGAGGAAGAGGAGGAGGAGGUCGUACCACCGCGCUCGGAAAGGCGGUCGAAGCUUGUCCACGACCCUUCGACUGAACGUGGUAAGGGGGUUGCGACCGCUGCUCAGUCGACCAAGCGCUCUCGGACCACCUCUCCGGUGCCGACUGAAAAGGCGUCGAAGCAGCCCAGGGCGGCCUCGUCGAAGCCGAUCAAGCUCCUGCCGAAGAUGAAGGUGUCCAUCCCCACCAUAUCAGGGUAACCGUGCUGCUUAAGUCUUCUUAUUUUGUGUGAACUUUGUCUCUGGUCGAUGCUGAAGUUAGUCGACUGAUCCUUUGGAGUUGCAGUGCUGCUACUUCUGAAACCUCAGCCCGGGCUGAUGACCACGAGAUGAAGGACGCAGCAACUUCGAAACCAGGUACUGUAUUCUUAACGCCGUUCUUAGUCGACUGACUCGCGAUCUCUGAUCCUGAUUCUUCUCCGUAGCCCCACCCAAUGUUGUUAUCGAUCUCCCUGAUGAUGAUGAGGAUGAAGAACCACUGAAGCGCAGGAGGAGUCGGAAAGCGUCCGCCAGUAAGGUGCCUCAGGAUGUGACGGCGCCUGAGAUUCCGACUGCGGAGGAAGGGAACACCACUCGACACACGGUGUCCUUCGCAGAUCCAUUGACGAGUGCUCAGCAGCCCUCCCUCUUCACAACGCACCAUGUCCCGGAGGACCAAGCUGGCGCGGCGAAGGAGGCAAUACGCCAGGCGGGAAUCAUGAUGGAGCAGCUGAAGACCAUCCGGGAUGCGAGCCAGGCGGCAUAUGACGCCAGUUCUGCCCUUCAAAGCAAUGUUCAGGUCAGUUGACCACAGUUUGUUCUGUUGGAUAUGCUGCCAAAAACUUUUCCUUUCCGGAAUUUAUAGUAGUCACCCAGUGGGUGUUGUCGAUUAAACUCCGUAUUAGCGGGGGCACGCUGAGUGCACCCGCUGGGUGUAGUCCCCAAGGCUAAGGUCGACUGCUGGCAGUCGGCCUUAGGCUUUAUGCUGUCAAUCUUUCUGUCAGUCGACUAUGUCGACUGGAUUUCACAAACCGGUGGGGCCACGCUGAGUGCACCCACUGGGUGUAGUCCUCGAGACUGUGGUCGACUGCUUGCAGUUGAUUACAGUCUUAAAGAAUACAUCUCCCUUCUUUUUUUUUGAGGUCGACUGGUCGACUUUGUCUUCAACAGGACUAGUGGGGGCACGCUGAGUGCACCCACUGGGUGUAGUCCCCGAGACUACGGUCGAAUGCUUGUAUUCGGCUGUAGUCUUAGAAACGUGUGUUUUUUCCUUUUUCACUCGAAAGUGAAUUAUAUUUGACAUUUAGUCGAUUGGUUCUUCGCAGAACUCUUGUGAUCUUGUGGCUUGCUACUCUGAGCUGGAAAACAAGCACACUCAACUCGAGCUGAGCCUGAAGCUGGUUCAGGAGAAGCUGACGAAGGCAAAGGAGGAGACCGAAGGUAUGUUUGGUGAGACCUUGACGACUGCUUUUCCCCUUGCUUGUUUCAAAAUCUGAUCUUGCUGUAACUUGCAGGUAAGGUAAGGGAGGCCCAGCAGAAGAAAGACCUCGAACUAGCUGAGAAGAUCAAGCUUGCUGACGAGAAGUUAGCUUCAGUCACCAAGCUUGAACAAGACAAUACCAAUCUGAAAGCUGCUCUUGGGAUCGCCAACAAGGAGGUCAGUCGACUGAAAACUGAUAAAGCUGCCCUGACCGACCAAGUCAGCAAAUUGACUGGGAAGAAAACUGAUCUGGAGGCCUUCCUGAGUGGUCUUGCCAAGAAGCUGUUUCUUAUGCUUGAAGGUAAACCUCUAUGCUUGGCGAACAUUUCCAAUUGUGGUUUUUCCAUUCGACCAUCUCCUUGACUUAGUGAUCAUCCUUGCAGAAUUUUGUCAAAACUUUGAAGAAGAAACCAGCCGACUGGAGCCAAACCUCGACCCCGUCAAUUCUCCGGUGAACGACGAAGUUGCCAUGGAUGUUUUCCGACUGGAGUCUCGUGUUGCAGCUAUCGUGGACUAUCUCGCAAGGCUGAAGGCCGCCACAUCUCGCAUCGACUCGACGCUCUGGCCUGAGGAGACACUUCAGAAUGACCUUGAGUCGCUGAUGACCCGCUUGAACACGAUCCCUGGUCGAGUGCAGGAAUGGAAGAAGUCCUCGGCUCGGUGUGGUGCAGAUGUUGCUCUGUGUCUGGCCCGAGUCCAUUGUAAAGAUGCGCGAGAAGAGAAGCUGGCGGCUCUUCGGGUGGCCAACACCAAGAAACACGACUUCAGGUCCUUUAUGGAAACUUUCCUUGCAGCUGCCACUCGGAUCGCCGACGGAAUUGACCUUGAUGAAUUCGUUGCACCUUCCAGCCCUCCACAGGAGGGGUAAAAAACUUCUUCUGGCUCGACUCUUUAAAUUUGCCUCGGUAUGCCGAGUGGAAUUGUAACCGAUAAACCUUAACAGGCUUAACGCCUGAGCACUUUCGGUUCCUUUAGAUAUCGAUUCAAACUUGAAUUUGGUGCUUGAAUAUGAUUGCCUUUGGCUCGAAAUGUCUUUUGCAGGUUCAAAGCAAGGCGCCUUUACUGCAAUCGACUUAUUCUUUAGUCCACUUAGGCGAGCACUGAGCUGCGGCUAAGCCUCCGAGUGGAAUCCCGGCUUACCACUCGGUAGGAUUUCUAUAACUUAGGCGAGCACUGGGCCGCAGCUAAGCCUCCGAGUGGAAGUUUGCUCUUCACUCGGUAGGAUUUUGAUAACUUAGGCGAGUCCUUGGACUGCAGCUAAACCCCCGAGUGAGAGGGUUGCUCCUCACUCGGUAGGAUUUAGAUAACUUAGGCGAGUGCUUGGACUGCAGCUAAGCCCCCGAGUGAGAGGGUUGCUCCUCACUCGGUAGGAUUUUUAUAACUUAGGCGAGUGCUUAGACUGCAGCUAAGCCCCCGAGUGAGAGGGUUGCUCUUCACUCGGUAGGAUUUAGAUAACUUAGGCGAGCACAGGGCUGCAGCUAAGCCUCCGAGUGGAAGCCCGGCUUACCACUCGGUAGGAUUUUUAUAACUUAGGCGAGUGCUUGGACUGCAGCUAAGCCCCCGAGUGAGAGGGUUGCUCUUCACUCGGUAGGAUUUUUACAACUUAGGCGAGCACAGGGCUGCAGCUAAGCCUCCGAGUGAAAGUUUGGCUUACCACUCGGUAGGAUUUUGAUAAACUUAGGCGAGUCCUUGGACUGUAGCUAAGCCCCCGAGUGAGAGGGUUGCUCUUCACUCGGUAGGAUUUUUAUAACUUAGGCGAGUGCUUGGACUGCAGCUAAGCCCCCGAGUGAGAGGGUUGCUCUUCACUCGGUAGGAUUUUUACAACUUAGGCGAGCACAGGGCUGCAGCUAAGACUCCGAGUGAAAGUCUGGCUUACCACUCGGUAGGAUUUUGAUAAACUUAGGCGAGUCCUUGGACUGCAGCUAAGCCUCCGAGUGGAAGGCUGGCUUACCACUCGGUAGGAUUUUUAUAACUUAGGCGAAACGGAUUCGCAGCUAAGCCUCCGAGUGGGAGUCUGGCUCACCACUCGGUAGGAUUUUUACAAACUUAGGCGAAACGGAUUCGCGGCUAAGUCACCCACUGAGGGGGAAUUUUAUUGGACAAAAAUAAAAAGUGACAGAAAUUAUGGAGGAACUUUGACACUAUUAUUUUGAGGUCCAUGAACUACAGAAGUACUUUAUUGCAACUCAUCCGAGUGAUAAACUUAAGUGUAAAAUGGGCGGAGUAGCUCCGCGUUCCAAGCUCGGGGCUCGUCGAUAUUAUGCUCGACGUUGUAAAGACGGUACGCCCCGUUGUGGAGAACCUUGGUGACGAUGAAGGGGCCUUCCCAAGAGGGAGCAAGCUUGUGUGGUUUGUGCUGGUUCACUCGGAGAACUAAAUCCCCUUCCUGGAAGGCUCGACCUCUCACAUUUCUGGCGUGGAAACGACGCAAAUCUUGUUGGUAGAUGGUCGACCGGAUCAGAGCCAUCUCCCUUUCUUCCUCUAAAAGGUCGACUGCGUCCUGCCGCGCUUGUUCAGCCUCUGCUUCGUUGUAGAUUUCAACUCGAGGAGCAUUGUGGAGAAGAUCACUCGGCAGAACUGCUUCAGCUCCGUAGACCAAGAAGAAUGGAGUUCUUCCGGUCGACCGAUUAGGUGUGGUCCGCAGCCCCCAAAGCACUGAGGGAAGUUCGUCGACCCAAGCUCCAGUCGCGUGUUUGAGAUCACGCAUUAGUCGAGGCUUCAAUCCUUUAAGAAUCAGCCCAUUAGCUCGCUCUGCUUGUCCAUUCGACUGCGGAUGGGCGACUGAAGCGUAGUAGACCCGCGUGCCUUGGGAGUUGCAGAAAGCUCUGAAUUCCUCUGAGUCAAAGUUCGACCCAUUAUCCGUAAUGAUGCUGUGCGGGACUCCAUAUCUGAAUAUUAGUUCUCUGAUGAAGCUAACAGCAGUACCGGUGUCAAGGCUCUUGAUUGGUUUAGCCUCGAUCCACUUGGUGAACUUGUCGACUGCCACCAGUACAUGCGUGAAGCCACUUCGUCCCGUUCUCAAAGGACCGACCAUGUCCAGUCCCCAUACUGCGAAAGGCCAGACGAGUGGGAUGGUCUUCAGGGCCGACGCAGGCUUGUGCGACAUAUUCGAGUAGAACUGACAUCCCUCGCACUUAUCCACUAUAUCUUUUGCCAUCUCAUUCGCCUUUGGCCAGUAAAAUCCGGCUCGGUAUGCUUUGGCCACGAUGGUCCGAGAGGACGCAUGAUGACCACAGGUCCCCGAGUGAAUAUCAUUGAGGAUGAGUCGACCUUCUUCUGGUGUUAUGCACUUCUGACCAACUCCAGUCGCGCUUUCUCUGUAUAAUUGUCCUUUGAUUACGGUAAAGGCCUUAGAUCGACGGACGAUCUGUCGAGCCUCUUCCUCAUCCUCCGGAAGCUCUUUUCUCAGGAUAUAUGCGACAUACGGAACUGUCCAGUCGGGAAUGACCACCAAAACCUCCAUGAUCAAGUCGACCACCGCUGGGACUUCAACUUCAGUCGGAUCUGUGGCACUCUUGGGUUGUGGAGUUUCUUCGGUGAAAGGAUCUUCUUUGACUGACGGAGUGUGUAUAUGCUCCAAGAACACACCACUCGGAAUGGCUUCUCUCUUGGAACCUAUCUUUGCUAGAUCAUCAGCUGCUUGAUUUUUCAGUCGGGGUAUAUGAUGGAGCUCCAACCCCUCAAACUUCUUUUCCAGCUUCCUCACUGCACUGCAGUAUCCAGUCAUGGUUGGGCUUCUCACGUCCCACUCUUUCAUCACCUGAUUGACCACUAAAUCUGAGUCGCCAUAGACCAUCAGGCGACGGACGCCGAGUGAAAUGGCCAUGCGCAACCCGUAUAAGAGGGCCUCAUAUUCUGCCUCAUUGUUGGAGGAAUCAAAGUGAAUCUGGAGCACAUAUCUGAGCUUAUCUCCUCUGGGGGAAACUAGGACGACCCCAGCACCGGAACCAUUCAACAUCUUAGAGCCAUCAAAAAACAUGGUCCAAUGCUCCGAGUGAACUUCAGUCGGCUGCUGUUGUUCAAUCCACUCGGCGAGGAAAUCUGCUAUUGCCUGGGACUUAAUGGCUUUCUUUGCCUCAAACUUGAUAUCAAGGGGAAGAAUUUCAAUCGCCCAUUUGGCCACUCGACCAGUUGCAUCUCUGUUGUGCAAAAUCUCUGAUAGUGGAGCGUCGCUGACGACUGUGAUGGAAUGAUCAGAGAAAUAAUGAGCAACCUUCUUUGUGGUCAUGUAUAUUCCAUACACAAGCUUCUGAUAAUGAGGAUAUCUCUGCUUGGAUGGAGUCAAGACUUCAGACAAAUAAUACACUGGGCGCUGAACUUUGAGAGCUUUUCCUUCUUCUUCCCGCUCGACCGUUAGCACAGUACUGACGACUUGUCCUGUGGCUGCGAUAUAGAGCAACAGAGGCUCUUUGCUGAUUGGAGCAGCAAGCACCGGCUGGGUGGAGAGCAGAGUUUUUAGCUCGGCAAACGCUGCAUCAGCUUCUGGAGUCCACUCGAACUUGUCUGUCUUCUUCAUCAGUCGGUAAAGAGGCAAUGCCUUUUCACCGAGUCGUGAGAUGAAUCGACUUAAUGCGGCCAAGCAUCCAGUAAGCUUCUGGACAUCGUGCACUCGCAUAGGGUGUUUCAUUCGGAGAAUAGUGCCAAUCUUCUCUGGGUUAGCGUCGAUUCCCCGUUCGGAAAUGAGAAAACCGAGUAACUUGCCACCAAGAACUCCAAAUGUGCACUUUGAUGGAUUGAGCUUGAUAUCAUAUCUUCUGAGGUUGGCAAAUGUUUCGGCGAGAUCAGCGAGCAGGUCGGAACCUUUUCGUGACUUGACAACGAUAUCAUCCAUAUAUGCUUCCACAUUCCGACUGAUUUGAGUGAGUAGACACUUCUGAAUCAUUCGCAUAAAUGUGGCUCCGGCAUUCUUGAGGCCGAAUGGCAUGGUGAUAUAGCAGAAGCACCCGAAUGGAGUGAUGAAAGCUGUUUUUACCUCGUCGGGUCCGUACAGACGGAUCUGGUGGUACCCGGAGUAGGCAUCUAAAAAAGAUAGCCUCUCGCAUCCCGUGGUCGAGUCAACAAUUUGAUCUAUGCGAGGGAGAGGAAAAUGAUCUUUUGGGCAGGCCCGGUUGAUGUGCUUGAAAUCGAUGCACAUUCGGAGCGACUUGUCCUUCUUAGGAACCAUGACGACAUUAGCGAGCCACUCAGAGUGGUAUAUCUCUCGGAUAAAUCCUGCCGCCAACAGUCGAGCCACUUCUUCACCAAUGGCCUUUCUCUUCUGGACGGCGGACCGCCGAAGAUGCUCUUUGACUGGUUUUGCAGAUGAGUCGACUCUUAGGCGAUGCUCAGCCAGUCCCCUGGAAACACCUGGCAUGUCAGCGGGCUUCCAUGCAAAAAUGUCCCAGUUCUCACGGAGGAACUGGAUGAGCGCUUCUUCCUAUUUUGGGUCGAGUGUUGUGGAGAUGCGGGUCGGAGCUGCUUCGGGGUCGGUCGGGUGAAUGUGAACAGGCUUCGUCUCACCGGACGACUAGAAUGCAGACUCUGUGGCGGGUUUCUUUGAUCGUAGCAAGUCACUCGGAUCUGCGUUUUGCUUGUAUUCUUCGAACUCAACCGCUGUCACCUGGGAAUCGGCAAUCUUGGAGCCCUUCUGAAAGCACUCUUCUGCCUUUUUCCGAUCACCGGUGACAGUGAUCACUCCUUUGGGGCCGGGCAUCUUCAAUUUGAGGUACACGUAGCAUGGUCGAGCCAUGAACCGUGCGUAAGCUGGUCUCCCCAAAAUGGCAUGAUAUGCACUCUGAAAAUCCACGACCUCAAACGUCAACUUUUCUUUGCGAAAAUGCUUCGAAUCACCAAACACCACGUCCAAAACUAUUUGGCCGAGUGACUCGGCUUUCUUCCCUGGUAUAACUCCAUGAAAGCUCAUGUUACUAGUGCUCAGUCGGGACCUCGGAAUGCCCAUUCCUUUCAGUGUGUCUGCAUACAACAAAUUCAGCCCGCUUCCACCAUCCAUCAGCACCUUUGUCAGUCGAGUGCCUUCGACAACUGGAUCGACCACCAAAGCUUGCCUCCCAGGGGUGGCAAUAUGAGUCGGGUGAUCAGAUUGGUCGAAUGUGAUGGGUGUUUGAGACCAUUUCAUAUAAUUUGCUUUUGCUGGGGCAACCAUGUUCACCUCUCGGUUAAUGACUUUCAGUCGACUCCUGCUUUCCACAUCUGCAAAGAUCAUCAGAGUGGAGUUGAUAUGCGGAUAUCCUUCCUCACUGUCCUCCUUGUCUUCAGCCUUGUCCAACUCCUUCUCCUUGUCCUUAGAUUGUUUUCCCUGAAACUGCUGGAUCAGGAGUCGACAUUGGCGAGUGGUGUGCUUCGGGUAAAUGAUAUUCCCCUCUUCGUCUUUCUUCGUGUGAAUGUGACAUGGCAUAUCCAUCACGUCGUUCCCUUCUUUAUCCUUUACCUUCUUGGGGUUCCAGGAUCCUUUUGGUUUCCCCUUAAACUUUCCCUGAGUCACGGCCAGAGCCUCUCCAGGAGCUGCUGGUUCAGCCUUCCGCUUCUGUUUCCGACUGGUGUUUCCUUUUUCCGACUGACUCGGCUUGUGCUUGCCGCUUCGGAGUCGGUCUUCUUCUUCGCUGUUGGCGUACUUGGUAGCAAUCUCCAUCAUCUGACUCAAGGUCAUGUCACCGGUUCGACCAAACUUCAAACUCAACUCUCUGUUCUUGACGCCAUCUUUGAAGGCGCAGACUGCCUGAUGAUCAGACACAUUCUCUACAGUGUGGUGCAAAGUGAUCCACCUCUGAAUAUACUCUCUGAGAGUCUCAUUAGCCUUCUGCACGCAGACUUGCAACUCUGUCAAUCCAGCUGGUCGCUUGCAAGUCCCUUCAAACGUUCUGAUGAACACUCGGGACAGAUCUUCCCAAGCGUAAAUGCUGCUAGGAGGUAAUUGAGUCAACCAUGCCCUGGCAGAACCUUCCAGCAUGAGGGGCAAAUGCUUCAUGGCCACCUCGUCGUUCCCACCACCAAUCUGAACUGCCACUCGGUAGUCUUCAAGCCAAGUUUCAGGCUUAGACUCACCCGUGAACUUGCUGACUCCUGCUGACAACCUGAAAUUGGGAGGGAUGACUGCGGCUCUGAUAGCUCUGCUGAAACAUUCAGGACCAGAAAUAUGCACUCGACUGCUUGUGGGCGCAUCUCUGUCGAGUCCGCCCCGAUGGGCUCUGUUCCGGUCGACCAAACCUUGCACGAUAAUGGAUCGCGCGUCGAAGCCUGGUUCUCUGGGGUCGACUGGAACCCUUCGCCCUGUACUGUACUGACGCCUGUCAUCUGGUUGCCGGGGAGCGUAAGACCCGCCCCUCGGAGGGGAAUUGGGCACUCGACGCCUAUCAUCUCGGUCGAGUCUGUCGCCAUAUUGAUCUCGCCGAUUCUCGCGCCCUUCACGCCGCGGAGGCGAUCUGGGGCUGUGAGCCGACUGAACCGUAUUCACAGUGACGGAUCGACUGUGAAUUCUGUUGCGCGACUGAGACACGGCUGAAUUCUGGUCUCCUGCUGCCCGGAGCAGAUCCCUGAUCUGCAGCAAACCUCUGCCAGCUUCCGACUGCGAAGGCUGGAUGGACUCUGCUAUACGGGUCGCAGCUGCUAAAUUCUGAAUUGGGGUUCGAUAUACCUGAGUCGGCGGGAAGAGUUGACGUCGACUAGUGUCGGGAACUCGUUGCCGCGCGCGCUCGUCGAGUGCUCGCUGAAGGUUCUCCAGUCGAGUGCGCUCGGCCAAAUUGGCCAGACGCACCUCCUCCAAGGCACGAGCCUCGGGGGUUUCUCCUGCGAUGGGAGUACGCAGGGCAUCCACGUUCCUGCGGCGAAGUUCCUCUCUUUGCAGAGAGUCGAGUGGCUCGGGCUGGUACUCUUCGUGGCGUCGUGCGGGGUCGCCUCCGUCACCUGCUCCAUCAUCACGGGCGAAGCUAGGGGGACUGCGGGGCCCGUCGACCAUCAAGAUUUCCGCCGCUGGAUCACUGCUACCGCACUCGGAUGCAGUCUCUACGGAGCCAGUCGACAGAUCGAACAAGCCGUAGAGAGGUUCGUCGGGCUCGAUUGCCGCAACUUGGGUGGUGGCCGAUUGGCGAGCCACCGCGUGCCUCACCCAUCGCUGAAGCCUCGACCGGCCCGAGCGCUUGCGCUGGCGGGAGACCAGGAGGGCGGACGAUGGAGGAGCCGACCGAUACUGGGUCGACGGUUGCCGCAGCAGAACGCCGCGGACACAUGCACGAAAAUGCGUCGCACCGCGGACGGGGAGCGCAUCUACGUCGAGUGGAGCCUCCUGGAGCCACGCGGAGUCGUCGGCGAUGAAGGUGAGAGUGCCGAGACGGAUCUCUUGACCCCCGUCCAAAACUCCAGCAGACACCAUGAUGAAAGUACUCGGAAGAAUCGCAACUUCUCCACAAAAUCGCUAAAACACCGGCCCCACGGUGGGCGCCAACUGUCGUGGUUCUAAGCCUGACAGUAGAGUGGGGGGUAGGUUUGGAGAGGCAAGGUCCUAGCUAUGGAGAGGUUGUAAACACAAGGGAUGUACGAGUUCAGGCCCUUCUCGGAAGAAGUAAUAGCCCUACGUCUCGGAGCCCGGAGGCGGUCGAGUGGAUUAUGAGUAUAUGAGUUACAAGGUGCCGAACCCUUCUGCCUGUGGAGGGGGUGGCUUAUAUAGAGUGCGCCAGGACCCCAGCCAGCCCACGUAGGAGAGGGUUUAAGGUGAGUUAAGUCUGGGGCGUUACUGGUAACGCCCCACAUAAAGUGUCUUUACUAUCAUAAAGCCUACUUAAUUACAGGCCGUUGCAGUGCGGAGUGCCUCUUGACCUCCUGGUGGUCGAGUGAGUCUUCAUGGUCGAGUCCUUCAGGUCAGUCGAGUGAGUCCCUCGUUGGUCGACUGGAAGGCGACCUCUUCUAAGGGUGUCCUUGGGUAAGGUACUUAGAUCAGGUUCGUGACCCUACCCUAGGUACAUGACCCCAUCACCCACGACUAUCAAAGAACUGAUUCAAGGUGUGCAGGAAGAGUUUGAUGAGUAUGAUGCCGGGAAACUCAACAGAAUAUUUCUAAUACUUCAGACCAUCAUGGUUGAAGUGAUGAACCAUGGAGGGGAAAAUUCAUACAAAAUUCCACAUUUGCGCAAGGAUAGAUUGGAAAGGCAAGGAAUCCUACCACCUAGGAUUCACUUUCCCCGGGAAGUUUAUGAAAAUGCCAUGGAGAUUCUAGAGCAAGAUAUCAUGGAGUAGUGGAGUAUGUUGAGACUUGCAAUGCUUGCAACCCUUGUUGUGGAGUAUGUCGAGACUUGUAGUGCUAUGAUGAAACUUGUUUGUGGAAAUGCAUUCUCGAGACUUAUAUUGUUUGUGGAUAUGGAUUAUUUGUAAGUAUGAAAUGGAUUAUAUUGUGUUGUUUGAAAUGGAGUACUCCAUAUGUGUUGUUUGAAAUGGGGUGUGCAAGUUUCUAAAAUUAUAUGCAAGCUUCUGAACUUCAUGGAAUGUUUGUGAACCUUAUGGAAGUUUCUGAAUUUUAUAUGUAAGUUUCUGGGUGUUGUUUGAAGUUUCUGAAUUAAUUCAUACUCCAGUUUAUUCAGGAACUACUCCAAGCAGUAGAAAUUCAUACUCAUACUCAUACUCCAAUUAGUGCAAAUUCAGAAACCAUGGAGUACUGCAAAAAUUCAAGCAGUGGUCUACAAGCACACAAACACUUCAGUUACUACUCAAGGAAGCAACUGGAAACAUUGCCAAAGGCAGUUGGACUUUGUACACUUUCUCAAAUAUACAAUAAUUUACUGUAAAACCAUCAUCUACUCAAUUUAUUCAACUGUAAACAUUGAUAGAAGCAACUGGAAUUUGUACUCAAUUUACUCCGAGUUGUAAACUUUCAGUUGAAAAAUGUACUCGAACAUCUGCACAUGGAGUGCUCAAUUUAGAUGAAUUUUUAAAUCAGUGAACAAGCCAUUAAAUAAGGGCUACAUAUAUAUUGUGGCUACAUACAUACUCCUGCUUUAAAUAAGGGCUACAUAUAUGGAGUACAGCCACAAUCAUCUCUGUAUUCCAAAUAUGCUGACAGACAAGCAAAGCAUUCAAAUCCCUCUAGACAAGCAGAGCAUAUACAAAGAUGAAUGGCUAAAAAAGAAUAAGGGCCAGCUAAUGCUAACCUUACAUCUAAGAUCUGCUUGUGGCUAAAAAAGAUAUGGAGACACAUUUUAAUCUGAACAUGGAGUAAACAUACUGUACACAAGCAGUAUAUGCUGACAGUGUCAUGCAAAUAAACUGAAGAUUGUGUCAUUUUAAUCUGAACCAUGGAAUAUGUAGAUUCAGCAAUCAACAAAUCCACAUACUGAACCAUGGAGUAUGCCUGACGACUACAGGAACUAGGAUAAGGGGGGGGGAUAUAGGGGAAGCUCACCACGCGCUCGAUAUGCUGGGGUCGAGGGCGGCGAGGAACGCCGGUGUUCGUUGCCGCCGUCGUCGAGUAGGACGUCCUGCUGCUUCACGUGCCCUUGCUGGCCUUGCACGGGCUGGACAUGUUGUCGUCGUCGACCAGGCCGCCGUGCCUGCGCUCCUCCUGCUCCAGCUCACGGCGACGGGCGACGGCCUCCUACUUCAUACUCCCGCUGAGUAUACAACAACUUCAGAUCCAGCCAGCAGCAUAGCUCCUCCCGCUGGUCCUCGCCGCCGUUGGUGCCCGCGCUCCUCUCGGCUUGACUAAAAAAGGCACCUUUAACUCCAUCGAGAGGUGACGCGGGGCGAGAGGAAGAGGCGACGAGGGCUACGGCGACGUGGGCGAGAAGGAUGCGGGCGGCCACGCGGGCGAGGGGGAUGCGGGCGGCGACAUCGGAGGAGCUGGGGAUUUGGGCGGCGAGUCGGAGGAGCUAGGGAUUUGGGCGGCGACGUCGGAGGAGCUAGGGAUUCAGGGAGCGACUGGUGAGACAGUGAGUGUGGAGAGUCACGACAAGUGAGCGCAGACUGCGGAGGGGCAAAAUGGGAAACAACAACAUUUUCGUAGCGUUACGAAAUUUCAACUACAAUUUCUA